GAGCGGAUAGUUCAGAUGGUAGAACAGUAGACUUUUAAUCUACUUGUCGGGGGUUCGAUUCCCUUUUCGCUCACCA
rnacentral:tRNA from 1 species